rnacentral:rRNA from 1 species
AUGAACGCUAGCGACAGGCCUAACACAUGCAAGUCGAGGGGCAGCGGGGAGGUAGCAAUACCUUUGCCGGCGACCGGCGCACGGGUGAGUAACACGUAUGCAAUCCACCUGUAACAGGGGGAUAACCCGGAGAAAUCCGGACUAAUACCCCAUAAUAUGGGCGCUCCGCAUGGAGGGUCCAUUAAAGAGAGCAAUCUUGGUUACAGACGAGCAUGCGCUCCAUUAGCCAGUUGGCGGGGUAACGGCCCACCAAGGCGACGAUGGAUAGGGGUUCUGAGAGGAAGGUCCCCCACAUUGGAACUGAGACACGGUCCAAACUCCUACGGGAGGCAGCAGUGAGGAAUAUUGGUCAAUGGUCGGCAGACUGAACCAGCCAAGUCGCGUGAGGGAAGACGGCCCUACGGGUUGUAAACCUCUUUUGUCGGAGAGUAAAGUGCGCUACGUGUAGCGUAUUGCAAGUAUCCGAAGAAAAAGCAUCGGCUAACUCCGUGCCAGCAGCCGCGGUAAUACGGAGGAUGCGAGCGUUAUCCGGAUUUAUUGGGUUUAAAGGGUGCGUAGGCGGCACGCCAAGUCAGCGGUGAAAUUUCCGGGCUCAACCCGGACUGUGCCGUUGAAACUGGCGAGCUAGAGUGCACAAGAGGCAGGCGGAAUGCGUGGUGUAGCGGUGAAAUGCAUAGAUAUCACGCAGAACCCCGAUUGCGAAGGCAGCCUGCUAGGGUGCGACAGACGCUGAGGCACGAAAGCGUGGGUAUCGAACAGGAUUAGAUACCCUGGUAGUCCACGCUGUAAACGAUGAUUACUAGGUGUGGGGGGUCUGACCCCUUCCGUGCCGGAGUUAACACAAUAAGUAAUCCACCUGGGGAGUACGGCCGCAAGGUUGAAACUCAAAGGAAUUGACGGGGGCCCGCACAAGCGGAGGAACAUGUGGUUUAAUUCGAUGAUACGCGAGGAACCUUACCCGGGCUCAAACGCAGGGGGAAUAUAUAUGAAAGUAUAUAGCUAGCAAUAGUCACCUGCGAGGUGCUGCAUGGUUGUCGUCAGCUCGUGCCGUGAGGUGUCGGCUUAAGUGCCAUAACGAGCGCAACCCCUAUGGACAGUUACUAACGGGUGAAGCCGAGGACUCUGUCUAGACUGCCGGCGCAAGCCGCGAGGAAGGUGGGGAUGACGUCAAAUCAGCACGGCCCUUACGUCCGGGGCGACACACGUGUUACAAUGGCAGGUACAGAAGGCAGCCAGUCAGCAAUGACGCGCGAAUCCCGAAAACCUGUCUCAGUUCGGAUUGGAGUCUGCAACCCGACUCCAUGAAGCUGGAUUCGCUAGUAAUCGCGCAUCAGCCAUGGCGCGGUGAAUACGUUCCCGGGCCUUGUACACACCGCCCGUCAAGCCAUGGAAGCCGGGAGUACCUGAAGCAUGCAACCGCAAGGAGCGUACGAAGGUAAUACCGGUAACUGGGGCU